rnacentral:rRNA from 1 species
AACGAACGCUGGCGGCAUGCCUAACACAUGCAAGUCGAACGAGACCUUCGGGUCUAGUGGCGCACGGGUGCGUAACGCGUGGGAACCUGCCCUUAGGUUCGGAAUAACUCCCCGAAAGGGGUGCUAAUACCGGAUAAUGUCUUCGGACCAAAGAUUUAUCGCCUUUGGAUGGGCCCGCGUUGGAUUAGCUAGUUGGUAGGGUAAAAGCCUACCAAGGCGACGAUCCAUAGCUGGUCUGAGAGGAUGAUCAGCCACACUGGGACUGAGACACGGCCCAGACUCCUACGCGAGGCAGGAGUGGGGAAUAUUGGACAAUGGGCGAAGGCCUGAUCCAGCAAUGCCGGGUGAGUGAUGAAGGCCUUAGGGUUGUAAAGCUCUUUUACCCGGGAUGAUAAUGACAGUACCGGGAGAAUAAGCUCCGGCUAACUCCGUG